AGCAGCCGCGGUAAUUCCAGCUCCAAUAGCGUAUAUUAAAGUUGUUGCAGUUAAAAAGCUCGUAGUUGAAUUUCGGGAUCAAAUUGUCGGUCGUGCCUCGGUACGUACUGGUAUUAUUGGUUCCUCCCUUCUGACGAACCACGAUGUCAUUAAUUUGGUGUCGUGGGAAAUCAGGACUGUUACUUUGAAAAAAUUAGAGUGUUUAAAGCAGGCUCGCGCUUGAAUACAUUAGCAUGGAAUAAUGAAAUAGGACGUUUGAUUCUAUUUUGUUGGUUUCUAGGAUCGACGUAAUGAUUAAUAGGGAUAGUUGGGGGCAUUAGUAUUCAAUUGUCAGAGGUGAAAUUCUUGGAUUUAUUGAAGACUAACUACUGCGAAAGCAUUUGCCAAGGAUGUUUUCAUUAAUCAAGAACGAAAGUUAGGGGAUCGAAGACGAUCAGAUACCGUCGUAGUCUUAACCAUAAACUAUGCCGACUAGGGAUCGGAUGAUGUUAAUUUUUUAAUGACUCAUUCGGCGCCUUAC
rnacentral:rRNA from 1 species